GGAAACGACCGCUAAUACCCCAUAUGCCGAGAGGUGAAAUGAAUUUCGCCUGAGGAUGAGCUCGCGUCUGAUUAGUUAGUUGGUGGGGUAAUGGCCUACCAAGACAUCGAUCAGUAGCUGGUCUGAGAGGAUGAUCAGCCACACUGGGACUGAGACACGGCCCAGACUCCUACGGGAGGCAGCAGUGGGGAAUUUUCCGCAAUGGGCGAAAGCCUGACGGAGCAACGCCGCGUGAGGGAUGAAGGCCUCUGGGCUGUAAACCUCUUUUAUCAAGGAAGAAGAUCUGACGGUACUUGAUGAAUAAGCCACGGCUAAUUCCGUGCCAGCAGCCGCGGUAAUACGGGAGUGGCAAGCGUUAUCCGGAAUUAUUGGGCGUAAAGCGUCCGCAGGCGGUCUGUCAAGUCUGCUGUUAAAGCGUGGAGCUUAACUCCAUUUCGGCAGUGGAAACUGACAGACUAGAGUGUGGUAGGGGCAGAGGGAAUUCCCGGUGUAGCGGUGAAAUGCGUAGAUAUCGGGAAGAACACCAGUGGCGAAGGCGCUCUGCUGGGCCAUAACUGACGCUCAUGGACGAAAGCCAGGGGAGCGAAAGGGAUUAGAUACCCCUGUAGUCCUGGCCGUAAACGAUGAACACUAGGUGUCGGGGGAAUCGACCCCCUCGGUGUCGUAGCCAACGCGUUAAGUGUUCCGCCUGGGGAGUACGCACGCAAGUGUGAAACUCAAAGGAAUUGACGGGGGCCCGCACAAGCGGUGGAGUAUGUGGUUUAAUUCGAUGCAACGCGAAGAACCUUACCAGGGUUUGACAUCCUGCGAAUCUCUUGGAAACGAGAGAGUGCCUUCGGGAACGCAGUGACAGG
rnacentral:rRNA from 1 species